CCAAGGAGAAGGAUCGCGAGGACCUGAAGCUAUGGAGACCCGCCAUCAUCAACCAUUUAUACUGCACUGCGUCUUCCACCCCAAAUGGCGAUCCCGAUAAGAUGGAGGCCAAGUGGCAGAGCAUGCUGAACCAUGUUCAGGAUAUACAUGAACACAGCUACCCUUCAUUUCCGCAAUGUGCACACCCACCUCUGGAAGGAGAGGGAAGAAACAAGCAGUGGCUGGAACCAGGAUCAACAGCUGCGAUAAAGUUGGAAAGUGUUGCUUCCAGAAAGGCCCUGCUGAAGGAUAUUUGACAGCUUUCACCGCAACACCAAACAUUUUCCUUGGAGGCAUUCCAUUCUUUAAUCCUGCACUUUGCGCCAAAGCACACCGGCUUCUCUUUUCUUGGAAUGUACAGCAGACUUCUCUUAGCGGCCCUCCACUUCAAUAACAAUGGAGACAGAGACGUAGCCCGAACAAACAGUGGUGAGGCACGCUAUGCAGUCCGUUACCCCCGGUUUUGGAAGGGUGGCUGGGUCAUCUUGAACGUCAUUCACGUUUUAAGUCCUAGACUGCCGGGGGACUUCCUUCCUGACCAGUGUUGGGUGCAACACGUAGUAACACCCAACGAGUAACAAAGUAACUCUUUACAGUAACAGAACUACUUUUUUUCGGGUAAAAAAUUGUGUAACGUGCUACUGCUGAAAAUUUGGUAACAAAAACGUUCCUUUUUCAAUUCGGCACAACGUUACUUUUCCCGGGGACAGACUUGACAGCGACUCUGCCUUCUCAGCUUGCUCGCUCACAAGCUCCACAUGAGACGUGACAGAGGCCGGUAGUAGCACAGCAAUCAUGGGAAGCGAGAAGCAGCCAAAGCUAACUUUUCAGGAGUCGAGCCGCCGUAUCCGCUCAGCUUCCUUGGCCGCCUGGUGAAGGUGGGACGUGGCUGUCUGUAAGCGGGGCCCAAAUAGUCCAU